rnacentral:rRNA from 1 species
CCUACGGGAGGCAGCAGUGGGGGAUAUUGGACAAUGGGGGGAACCCUGAUCCAGCGAUGCCGCGUGAGUGAAGAAGUAUUUCGGUAUGUAAAGCUCUGUCAGCAGGGAAGAAAGAAAUGACGGUACCUGACCAAGAAGCCCCGGCUAACUACGUGCCAGCAGCCGCGGGAAUACGUAGGGGGCAAGCGUUAUCCGGAAUUACUGGGUGUAAAGGGAGCGUAGACGGUUAAGUAAGUCUGGAGUGAAAGGCCGGGGCCCAACCCCGGGACUGCUCUGGAAACUAUUGAACUUGAGUGCAGGAGAGGUAAGCGGAAUUCCUAGUGUAGCGGUGAAAUGCGUAGAUAUUAGGAGGAACACCAGUGGCGAAGGCGGCUUACUGGACUGUAACUGACGUUGAGGCUCGAAAGCGUGGGGAGCAAACAGGAUUAGAUACCCUUGUAGUC